CUGAGGCUGGCUUAAGCUCUAUGGUAGAUAGAGAGAUUCCUGAGCAUGGCAGACUUUCACUGCAAGCAAACCGUACAGGUUCCCUUGUGUGAAUUCCGUCAGUAUUGGGGCUGUCCCCGGGGGAUGAAGCUGUGAAACCGGACACUUGUACACCAGAGCAGUCAUCAAACUUGAGAUGCGUCUGAGGGCUAUUCUGUAUGGUUAUCCCAGUGAUGGUCACGCCAUUACUCCCAUAGAAUCUCAAAGCCUACAUGCCAAAUCUGUCCCCAAGAAGGAAAUGGGUCCAACGAGGAAAGUAGACCCAGUUGGAGCUACCAGGGUCGAUGCUGCCACCUUACAAGCUGCUUCCCAAGCUGCUUCAAAAGCCUGCAAUUUUAAUGGAUCUACCGUGCCUAGCAGCUUCACAGAUCCCGACACUCAAAGAUAACAGGGAGAAUGAGAUGAGCACAUUCCACGCAAGGCAUUUUAAGUUUGAGUGGCUGGGGAACAAGCGAGCACGUCUUUACGUGCAGUCAACUCAUGCAAUGAACCGGAAUUUAUCGGUUCUGUUUGCCAUCACCCGGUUUACACCUGUUUGCUUUGCUGUUUGUCAUAACCAAACUCCGAUGUAACACUUAACCAAUAUUGUGUUCAUCUGAAGCUGGAAGAGAGAAGGAAUGCGAAGAUUUUGAAGCGUGCAAGUUGCCAUGCAAUUACCGGUACGCCACCUCAUCAUAAUAUCAUUCUCCCAUGACUUUUGUUUUGUAUGCCCUAAUUAAAAGAUAAUCUAAUUUAUUUUCUGUUUUCCAAGUCCUUAAAUUUUGUUAUGUCACCCCCGGGGCCCAGCCCUUAAAUUAAGCACCGUAACAUACGGUGAUAUAUGGUAUGGUAUUCAUUGGAUCUUGCA